UACGAAGGGUGCAAACGUUGCUCGGAAUCAUUGGGCGUAAAGCGCACGUAGGCGGCUUCGCAAGUCGGAUGUGAAAUCCCUGGGCUCAACCGAGGAAGUGCAUCCGAAACUGCGGAGCUUGAGUAUGGAAGAGGGUCGCGGAAUUCCCGGUGUAGAGGUGAAAUUCGUAGAUAUCGGGAGGAACACCAGUGGCGAAGGCGGCGACCUGGGCCAAUACUGACGCUGAGGUGCGAAAGCGUGGGGAGCAAACAGGAUUAGAAACCCCCGUAGUCC
rnacentral:rRNA from 1 species